rnacentral:misc_RNA from 1 species
UUUCCGUAGGUGAACCUGCGGAAGGACCAUUAUCGUAAAACCGAGGUGCGAGGGCUGUCGCUGACCUUUUCGGUCGUGCACGCCCGUGCGCUCUCACACAAUCCAUCUCAUCCCUUGUGCACCACCGCGUGGUUCCCUUUCUGGCUCGUCCGGAGGGGGGCUCGCGUUUUCACACAAACUUGAAGUAGUGUAGAAUGUCCUUUUUUUGCGAUAACACGCAAUAAAUACAACUUUCAACAACGGAUCUCUUGGCUCUC